rnacentral:rRNA from 1 species
AUACGUAGGGGGCGAGCGUUGUCCGGAAUGAUUGGGCGUAAAGGGCGCGUAGGCAGCCCGGUAAGUCUGGAGUGAAAGUCCUGUUUUUAAGAUGGGAAUUGCUUUGGAUACUGUCGGGCUUGAGUGCAGGAGAGGUAAGUGGAAUUCCCAGUGUAGCGGUGGAAUGCGUAGAGAUUGGGAGGAACACCAGUGGCGAAGGCGACUUACUGGAAUGUAACUGACGCUGAGGCACGAAAGUGUGGGGAGCAAACAGGAUUAGAUACCCUGGUAGUCCACACUGUAUACGAUGAAUGCUAGGUGUAGGGGGUAUCGACCCCUUCUGUGCCGCAGUCAACACAAUGAGCAUUCCGCCUGGGGAGUACGGCCGCAAGGUUGAAACUCAAAUGAAUUGACGGGG